rnacentral:ncRNA from 1 species
UCAUAUGCUAAAAUCCCUAAGCAAUCACCUGGUUGAAAGGAAGUGCUAGAGUGAUGACAACUAAGAGGUGGCCGGGCUCGGAAGCCGUCAUCUUUUGAAGAAAUCGUGAUAGCUCACUAAUCUAGCUCCAUGGCACCAAAAAUGUUUUAGGGCUCAAGUGACUCACCAAUGCAAGGA